rnacentral:rRNA from 1 species
CCUACGGGUGGCUGCAGUGGGGAAUAUUGGACAAUGGGGGGAACCCUGAUCCAGCCAUGCCGCGUGUGUGAAGAAGGCCCUCGGGUUGUAAAGCACUUUCAGUGAGGAAGAACGCCUGGUGGUUAAUACCCAUCAGGAAAGACAUCACUCACAGAAGAAGCACCGGCUAACUCCGUGCCAGCAGCCGCGGUAAUACGGAGGGUGCGAGCGUUAAUCGGAAUUACUGGGCGUAAAGCGCGCGUAGGUGGCUUGAUAAGCCGGUUGUGAAAGCCCCGGGCUCAACCUGGGAACGGCAUCCGGAACUGUCAAGCUAGAGUGCAGGAGAGGAAGGUAGAAUUCCCGGUGUAGCGGUGAAAUGCGUAGAGAUCGGGAGGAAUACCAGUGGCGAAGGCGGCCUUCUGGACUGACACUGACACUGAUGUGCGAAAGCGUGGGUAGCAAACAGGAUUAGAUACCCGAGUAGUC